rnacentral:rRNA from 1 species
UAGGUGGCAAGCGUUGUCCGGAUUUACUGGGCGUAAAGGGAGCGUAGGUGGAUAUUUAAGUGGGAUGUGAAAUACUCGGGCUUAACCUGGGUGCUGCAUUCCAAACUGGAUAUCUAGAGUGCAGGAGAGGAAAGUAGAAUUCCUAGUGUAGCGGUGAAAUGCGUAGAGAUUAGGAAGAAUACCAGUGGCGAAGGCGACUUUCUGGACUGUAACUGACACUGAGGCUCGAAAGCGUGGGGAGCAAACAGGA